GACGAACGCUGGCGGCGUGCCUAAUACAUGCAAGUCGAGCGAGCUUGCCUAGAUGAAUUUGGUGCUUGCACCAAAUGAAACUAGAUACAAGCGAGCGGCGGACGGGUGAGUAACACGUGGGUAACCUGCCCAAGAGACUGGGAUAACACCUGGAAACAGAUGCUAAUACCGGAUAGCAACACUAGACGCAUGUCUGGAGUUUAAAAGAUGGUUCUGCUAUCACUCUUGGAUGGACCUGCGGUGCAUUAGCUAGUUGGUAAGGUAACGGCUUACCAAGGCAAUGAUGCAUAGCCGAGUUGAGAGACUGAUCGGCCACAUUGGGACUGAGACACGGCCCAAACUCCUACGGGAGGCAGCAGUAGGGAAUCUUCCACAAUGGACGCAAGUCUGAUGGAGCAACGCCGCGUGAGUGAAGAAGGGUUUCGGCUCGUAAAGCUCUGUUGGUAGUGAAGAAAGAUAGAGGUAGUAACU
rnacentral:rRNA from 1 species